rnacentral:rRNA from 1 species
AGAGGGAAAAGGAGCAAUCCGCUUUGAGAUGGCCUCGCGUCCGAUUAGCUAGUUGGUGAGGUAAUGGCCCACCAAGGCGACGAUCGGUAGCCGGACUGAGAGGUUGAACGGCCACAUUGGGACUGAGACACGGCCCAGACUCCUACGGGAGGCAGCAGUGGGGAAUAUUGCACAAUGGGGGAAACCCUGAUGCAGCGACGCCGCGUGGAGGAAGAAGGUCUUCGGAUUGUAAACUCCUGUUGUUGGGGAAGAUAAUGACGGUACCCAACAAGGAAGUGACGGCUAACUACGUGCCAGCAGCCGCGGUAAAACGUAGGUCACAAGCGUUGUCCGGAAUUACUGGGUGUAAAGGGAGCGCAGGCGGGAAGACAAGUUGGAAGUGAAAUCUAUGGGCUCAACCCAUAAACUGCUUUCAAAACUGUUUUUCUUGAGUAGUGCAGAGGUAGGCGGAAUUCCCGGUGUAGCGGUGGAAUGCGUAGAUAUCGGGAGGAACACCAGUGGCGAAGGCGGCCUACUGGGCACCAACUGACGCUGAGGCUCGAAAGUGUGGGUAGCAAACAGGAUUAGAUACCCUGGUAGUCCACACCGUAAACGAUGAUUACUAGGUGUUGGAGGAUUGACCCCUUCAGUGCCGCAGUUAACACAAUAAGUAAUCCACCUGGGGAGUACGACCGCAAGGUUGAAACUCAAAGGAAUUGACGGGGGCCCGCACAAGCAGUGGAGUAUGUGGUUUAAUUCGACGCAACGCGAAGAACCUUACCAAGUCUUGACAUCCCUUGACAGGCAUAGAAAUAUGUUUUCUCUUCGGAGCAAGGAGACAGGUGGUGCAUGGUUGUCGUCAGCUCGUGUCGUGAGAUGUUGGGUUAAGUCCCGCAACGAGCGCAACCCUUAUGGUCAGUUACUACGCAAGAGGACUCUGGCCAGACUGCCGUUGACAAAACGGAGGAAGGUGGGGAUGACGUCAAAUCAUCAUGCCCUUUAUGACUUGGGCUACACACGUACUACAAUGGCGUUAAACAAAGAGAAGCAAGACCGCGAGGUGGAGCAAAACUCAGAAACAACGUCCCAGUUCGGACUGCAGGCUGCAACUCGCCUGCACGAAGUCGGAAUUGCUAGUAAUCGUGGAUCAGCAUGCCACGGUGAAUACGUUCCCGGGCCUUGUACACACCGCCCGUCACACCAUGAGAGCCGGGGGGACCCGAAGUCGGUAGUCUAACCGCAAGGAGGACGCCGCCGAAGGUAAAACUGGUGAUUGGGGUGAAGUCGUAACAAGGUAGCCGUAGGAGAACCUGCGGCUGGAUCACCU